rnacentral:lncRNA from 1 species
GCCCGGUUUCGGCGAUGGGUUAUAGGGUCCGCGUCAGCCCCGCGCCCGCACAGCCAACGUCACGCCGCAUUCUUAUUUCCAAAGACCCCUGGAGCUUGGGGUCCCACCCCAGCGGUCUUUCGGGGCGUCCCCUGCCCUUCACGCGCCGCGCCGGCUCGGCCCGAAGCGCCCUGCGGACCCGCAGCCUGGGCCGCCCCGAACCUGACGGCCCCGCGGGGGUCGGACGCGGGAGGAACGGCCUCGCUUUCAGAGACGCAGCGGGAGGGCGGUCCCCGCUGUCCCUCUGGCCGGGUCCUCAGCACGCGUUCUCCUCACUCCCAGGACUAGCGAGCGGCGGGCGCGGACCGGGGCCUGGGGUCGGAGGCGGCGCAGCCAGAAAGGCCCCAGCGGCGCUGAGACGUUUGGGGGAAGGCGGGGGCUUCGCGUUUCGAUGGCGGGAAGCGGAAUGAGGUUGGACCGGCCGGGCCGGCGUUCAGGGACCCGGCGGGAGGCGGAGGGCUGGCGUCCUCGCGGACAUCCAUCUGCAGCGAACCAGGCAGAGGCUUUGGGAUUAGAUCCUUGACUCCUUGCGUCAGUAGUUAAGCUUUGUGAUGGUCUGAGGUCCAUGAAGGGAUUAAAACCAGGAACUGGCUCCUUCUCCAACCACUAAAGCCUCAUCUGGGCCCACAAGCCCUGGCUGUUCCCUGGAGCGUGACUGGAAGAUGUGAGCAGCUUUGUGCUGGAGCCCCAUUUCCAUGGUGCAUGCUGCUGCCAAACCAGAGAUCACUUGUAGACUUGAAAGGGAACAUGAGCUUUGGGUGAAGGAUUCCCAGCCCCCAACAGAGGCCAAAAAGCUACCACCCAGCCAGGUAAGCCUUGAUGGAACAUCUCUUGCACAAAGAUCACCAUGUUCAUUGAGCCUUUAGUGCCUCCUGGGCUCUGAUCAACCCACGAAUCAGUAUCUCCGCAGCACUUCCUGUGGUUUGGAUUCAGGUUUUUUACUUCUGUUUCCUGCCUUUAUGAUAGGAGUUUGGGUAACCUGUGAGAAACACAGCCACAGUGUAAACCUCUUGAGACAAGCUACACUGAUGGGACAAUCAGGGUGAGGGCAAUCCGGCGCCGUGGCUAUGUCAGCUCAUGUGUGCUCUUUCAGGAGGACAUGUCUCACAGACACAGAUCUUCAGCUCUGACAUGCUCGAUCUCACAAGCCCUUUUCUGAAACCUCCAUCAUGUGCUUUCUGAUUCUCUACAGGCAGAAGGAACAUAAAGUAUGCAUUUUAUGAUACGACUCAGCUUGGAGGGAUGAAGUAGAAGGUCCUCACUGCACCUCAUGGCAGGCUGCUGACGGCAGAUAUUUUACCGGGCUCACUGAACUGGGCAGUCAGGGAAGGGUCGGCUCCUGCUCUGUCCAGCUGUCUUCAUAAGGGACUCUGUGACACUUUUUAUAAAAAUGACUUUGAUUUCUGCAUAAGAAGGCUUCCCAAGCUUGCUGUCUAGCAGUGGCUGCUACAGGGAAUUAUUCACAUGGCAGCAAGAGAGCCCUGGCUCCCUGGACCAGGACAUUCCCUUUGUGUGUGUUGGAAUGAGAGCAGGAGGAGUGCUGGUCAGAAGCCCCUCCCCAGGGCUCUGGGACUUCAGUGUUCUCAGACAAACUGGGCCGCUCCUCUGAGCUGGGAUGCUGACCCACACUUGGCCCCGGCUCUGGCAUCCACAGGACGCUGCCUUAUCCGUCAUCUCGCUGGGGCUGGGGGCUAGAGGCUGAGCAGGUCACACUGAACAAAAGAAGUGUGUCCCCAUCACUAGGCUAACAUCUGAGUUUCUUCCACAGUAUUUGGUAACACAGUCAGAAACAAGACUGAAGAUGAUUCUGGAGGCAACUGGGAACCCCCCAGAACGAUUCUGCAGGCUUCUGGGAAGCUGAAAAACCCCAAGGCCAGACUGGCCUCAGAAUGCCUGAGUCCUUUUGAUUCCACUGGAAAAGCCAUCCAUCUGUGCCAAGUGUGUGGAGAGCUUCAAGAGCCAUAUAGCCCUGGCCACCAUGAGCACAGCCACGUGGGGGAGUAGUCCUGAAAGUGUCCUGGUGUGGCAAAGGCUUUCCACUAAGUGGACCUCAGAUGGCACAGGAAGACCCUCCUGGGGAUGUGGGAGGACACUGCCUAGUGGGUGAGGGGCCGCUCUUUCAGGUGUGCACACUAAAUGCAGAGACAGCCUCUCCUGGCUGCCAAGAAGCCUGUGCAUGAUCCAGGACCACAAAACACUUGCAAACUCACUGCCCAGAGGCCCUGUGCCUGUCUGGAGUGUGCCCAGUGUGUCUGCGCCCCACAGCUUGUCCUGGCCCGCCAGCAGAGCCGCAGCACUGCAGGGCCCUUCUGUUGUGAGUGCCAGGGCCCUUGCUGGCUGCCUGAGCAAGGCAAAAGGUUCAAAACAGGAAGUCUCUGGGCAGCUAUUCCCAGGUGCAGAGGGGAGCAGCGGCCACACAGGUGCCAGUGUGGCAGGAGCUGCAGUCAGAGGCAGCAUCUCAAGAGCCCUGGGAGCAGGGGCCAGCCACGUGAAGCCCACGAGUGUCGCUGGCACAGGGAAGGGACACGAGGAUCACACUGACCCAAGAGAAGGCCCACAGUGAGGAGGCCCCACCGAAGCAUCCCCAGCAACAGGGACUGAGGCAUCUGAGGCAGCCAGCCCACUCGGAAAGGCCUGCUGACUGCACUCCAGAUGUCAAGAGCACCCUUGGGAAAAAGAAAGGCAGGAGUGCAGCACUUUCUAGAGCCUCAGCUCACUUCUCUCCUUCUAGCUCCAGCCGGAGUGAUGGAAGAGGCUGCGCUGGGAGCUGCCUCCCUGGGAGCCUACCCUGCCCAGCCUGAGAGUGGAGGCUACCAGCAUCACGCUUCCCCUAGUGAAAUCCAUCUGUCCUGAAGGGAACCCUGGGACGGGGUCAAGGAAACCCUGUUCACCCCCACCACGGGGUCAGGUCUUCACCAAAGGGAGGCCGCACGGAUUCCCAGUCGCAAACCCAAAGCCUUGCUGCCUUUGCCUCUGUUUCCAUAGUUGUUUCAAUGUCUUUUUUAAAAAUCACAUACACUCGAGUAAGACUGAGUCUCCUCACCGAAGAGAUCUGGCUGUAUCCCGAGUCUCUGAAACCUUUGCUCCAGUCCCGUGGGAGCGUGCCGUCCCGAGGAUGUGGAGCCGCAAGGGCUCGCCAGAGGGAUCUCAGGAGCUAGGCCUCAAGGAGCGCUGUUGAGUGACAGGUCUGAUGCAGUAGCUUUUACUAUUGGUGGAAAUCGAUGUUUUUUCCUUGAAAGUCUACCUUUCUAAGUUCAGUAAACCAAAUUAGAUCAUGUAUGUGAAAGCACUUUGUAAACUAUGCAGUACUCCAGAAAAGGCAGCCAAGCCCUUAAUUAUAACUCACCAAACAGCCAACUCUCAUCUUUACCUUCUAACUGGCAAAAAUGAUUGAGCUCACUUUGAAGGACUAGAGAGGAAAGAAACUGAAAGACAAAAAUCAGGUGAAUACACAGGCACUUCCCCUGCCCACCUCUGUUCCUGGCCCUGUCCCCUCGUGAGUGAGAGCAGAGCUCGUUCUGUCAGCUUCUCUGAGCUCCUGGUCCUCGCUUAGGGACACACAAGACAGAGAUGUGUUGAAAUAGACUCUGCUUUAUUCAGGUAGCAAAAGGUUAGGAAUCAAACAUGGUUUUUAAAACCUCCUUUCAUCUUUGAAAAUAGAGGAGAGAACAUCCCUGGGCCAGUCACAGUUACUGUAUUUGGCUAAGCACACACCUGUAUGAGGGACCCGCCCCUCCACACUGUUCUGAUAGGUACUUAGCACCCUAGAAACUCAUCCUCUGCAGGAGAGAGAAGCAAGGGUCUGGAGCGCGGUCACAUACUCUAAGGUAUCUUCCAGGACAGGGGGCUGGGCUCCCUCACUCCCACCUGGAGUCGCUAUGGCUAUUGGGAUCAAACUACCAGUUACAUACUGGUUACUUGGAAUGUCAGACCCGGUGGGUAUCAGUCAUCAGGGAGAGGGAGGGGAAAUGCCAGGACACGUACAUACGGAUGCUGUCAAGACUACAGGCAAGGAGGAGGGUGGCGACAAGCGCUGGGACUCCAGCCAAAGCGGGAGUGCAUGCUUCUUCCCCUCCCAGAGCCCUGUGGUUUUUCUUCUUGUGAGGCAUAAACAGGAAGCCUCUCCAACAAGGGGGUCUCCAGCACUAGGGGCUGAAACUCAGCCAGCCUCUCCAAACAAAGCAAAGGGGCCAGCCUGGGCCAGGGCCUCUGAUAAGGAUGCUCACUGUGUUUCCACGGGGGUCCUGAAUGAGGAAGUUCAGGAAUAAGAUGGCAGUCAUCUUCUUCCUUCUUGGCCAUUGGCUGACAAAGGGGAACGGAGCAGGCCUGUGCCCCUUGAGAAAUCGGGUAGUGCAAAUUUUAUGACAAACAGCAUUCUCAGUGGCCCCGCUGCACAGGGACCCCCCUUUCCCACCACCUAAGGAAGGCACUGGCCGGUGUCCUCGGAGCACGCUGAUGCUGACGUGGAGAGGGCGAGUUGCUUCCCCUAGCUUCCACCUCAGCUCCAGAACUACUCCCACAGAGACCCACUCACGGCUGCUCACAGGAUGGCCUCCUGCUCUGAGGGAUUCUUCAAGGAUGAAGAGGCCGCAGGAAGCAUGUGUGCUGGAACAGCACCUUGAUGUGGAAUCCCUGUGGGUAGGGCAGAGGCUAUAGCCCCACCUAAAAAAGCCUUUCUCCCUCCCUUUCCACGAGUUCACAUCCACAGUGCCUGACCUGGGCAAGUUCCUGAACGCCCAUGGAGACGGUGAUGGGGAGAAGGAGGCCUGUGUGUGCCUUAGCCACGCAGAUAGUAACACCUCCCAGAGCUCCCGCACCACAGGCCUGUGGGGUCCCUCUGACCGCCAGACCCACAGGGCUGGGAGACAUUUCCACAGGUCAAAGGCAGAAAGCAAGAAAGGAAUUCCUGACUAGAACUGAAAAUGACACGAAAGCAACAGUGCUAAGGCUAAGUACUGGGGUGGGGAUGAAAGGGCAGGUGGGGUACCAGGGUACCUGCGGUACCAGGGAGGGGCUCGGACGCCAGCAUCUACCCUGGGAAUGGGAAGGGUACUCAGACAGCAGCUUCUACCCUGGGAAUAGGAAGGGUACUCAGGUGCUCAGAUGCCAGCAUCUACCCUGGGAAUGGGAAGGGUACUCAGACAGCAGCUUCUACCCUGGGAAUAGGAAGGGUACUCAGGUGCUCAGAUGCCAGCAUCUACCCUGGGAAUGGGAAGCGGCAGACUAUGGAGAAAGGGCCCACCCACAGGGGCCUGCAGCACAGCACAGGACCUGCCUGAGCCAGGCAGCAAGCAAGCUGGGAUGGAUGGCGCCCACUUCCUGCCUGUUUAAAACAAGUAUCAGGCAGGGCAGAGAAACCCUGCCUGCUGACUUGCCUCAUUUCCUGCCCAUGGUUAAGGAAGGCAGAACCUAGACAAAAUCAUCCUCCUCCUGAUAAGCGGCCUCCUGAGCCUGCCAAGACGGAGCUGCCCUUGGAAGGAAAAGUGCUUCACUUUAGGUGGAAGGAAGAUCGGGGCGAGGAGGGUGUGAACCUAGCAGUGCCAGAAGCCCCUCUGUGCCUCUAGGGCGGUGGUUCUGUGGUUCUGAAGCUAGAGCAGGCCCAAAGUCCCUGGAGGAGGUUGUUCAAAGCCCUUGUCACUGAGCGCCCAUUCGGGGAUGUCUCAGUGGGCCCUGGAGAUCCUGGUGCAGAGUCCCCAGGGCAGCUCAGAGAAGAGUGGACUAGCCUGUCGUGCAGAUGGUGCAUUCAGAGAGCAACUCCUACAACAAGGACUUUGGAGACAAAUUCCUACCUGUCCCACUAAGGACGAGGAUGGGGCAGAUGGCAGCUAAGUCCACACUGCAGCCAGAGGUCUUUGAGGGAGCUCGAGGCUCUCAUUCACUAAUCCUAGGGCAGAUGGGGAGUCAGCAGGCACUUGGAUCUCUGCUGCCACUUCAUGGAGAGGGAAACUGAGGCACAAAGAGGAAGGGAUUAAUCAGACCACUGCCUGCAGCAGAGCUGGGGCUGCAUCCCAAGCCUCCCAACUCCAACUUCGUCCCAUCCUCUCCUGGGUAAACCGGGCCGGGCAUGCCACGGGUUAAACGCGGCUCGGCUCUCCGGGAAGCACCAGACCCCCUGCCAGAAGAGCCCAGCUCCACCAUCUGGAGCUGCAGGAAGAGAACUUUCUUGGGUGCUCUGUGCAAAGGGCUUGUGAUUGUUUCGCCCUAAAGGAAGCCCUGGGAAGAGGUAGAGUUCCGCACGAGACCACGGCCUCACUGCUUCUGCUGUGGGAGCCAGGGUAGGAAGUCCCAGAACAAUGCCUCUGGGGGCUCUUGCAGCCAGGCCAGCUGUCCCUAGAGCAGGGGCAACCUCCCCCUCUAACAAGGUGGUCUUUCCCAUUCCCACUUAGACUGUGGGCAGCCUCCCUGGAACAUUCCCCAGGGAUGUCCAACAGUCUCCCCUACCAGGACACUCCUCUUGCCACCAAAACUCAGGGGCUGAAACCUUUCAUGAUGGGGUUAUUUUCUGCAGCACCUUAAAAAUGAACUUGAGAUAUAGAACCUUCUGGCACAUUUGUGUGCUGUGAGGCAUGGCUGUGCUGAGUGGGGCCUCAGGAAACAGGUCAUGCACCUCCUGAUACCCCUGCUGCUCUGGGAUGCCACUGCCCACUUCCUGGUGCUUAGAGACCAUCGCCACCAGCAGAAGAUCCUAGGGCAGCCUAGAAUCUGCAGAGCCUGUCCCAGUGAUCACAGAGGCGUCUCCAAGGCAGUCCCAAGGACUCCCUGUCCCUCAGGACAUCCCGGGGGCCUCCUGGCUGGUGUGGGGAUACAGGAGUCUCUCGGGAGGCUCCAUGAUGCAGUCCUUCAGAACCUCCGCUGCUUCCCUGGAGGGCAGGAUGGGUGGCUUCUGGGUCCUGGGCUCCUCCACAUAGAGGGCUCCCAUCUCCUCCUUCCUGAGCCUGGCGCCUGUGAGGGAGGAAGGAGAAUACAAUUAGACUGACUGACAGUGACCGCCUUCCACAUCCAGCUUCGCCCAGGGGCUGUUUGGUGAGGAAAGCUUGGCAGAACAGACUGAAGUCAGGACCACGACUGCUCUUUGCAGCCCUCAUCUGUUGCUACUCUGUUCAUUCUUUUAUCCUGAGAUAGGGGAUCUCAACUGGGGGCGAUUUUGUCCCCCAGGGGCCAUUUGCCAAUGUCUGGAGAUGAUUUUUGUGGUCACAAAUGGGGUGUGUGCUACUGGUAUCCAGUGGUUAUCUAAUAGGUAGAGGCCAUGGAUGCUGCUCAAGUUCCCACAGUGAACAGGAAGGGCCCCCAACAGAGAUUACCCAGCCCCAGCAUCAACAAUGCCAAGGCUGAGAGCCCUG